UUUCCGUAGGUGAACCUGCGGAAGGAUCAUUCAUAAUAAAGUGUUUUAUGGCACUUUUUAAAAAUCCAUAUCCACCUUGUGUGCAAUGUUAGAUCUCGUCAAUCUUGGCGAGAUUUUUUUACAUCAACUCAUUCUUUAACUAAUUUGUCUGAAAAAUAUUAUGAAUACUUAAUUCAAAAUACAACUCUCAACAACGGAUCUCUUGGCUCUC
rnacentral:misc_RNA from 1 species